AAUUAUUAUACUGCAAAGAAUUACAAAAUUUAGGGAUUAUAUACCUUUUGCAUAAUGGUUUAAUAAAUAAUUUAAAAAUUUGCUUUACCGAAAUUAGAAGAUCUAACUUAAUUAUAAUGUUGCAAAAUUAUAAUAACUUUAAGUUAGGGAUGAAAAGUCUAACAAUUCUAAAGAUAACUGUAAUAAUUUUAAAUGUAUUUAGUACAAAAUUAAUUUGAAUAAAAAAAUGUUAAGGUUUUUUUAGUUAGAAUUAUUUUUAAUAUUAUGAAAUAAUACCUAAUAAUAAAUUAAGUAAUAAUAAAUUUUUAGGUUAUCUAUAUUAAAUUUAAAUUAAAACAAAUUAUUAAUAAAUUAUGUUAAAAUUAGUAUUUUUAAAAAUUAAAUUAAGGAACUCGGCAAAUUAUUCAACUGUUUAUCAAAAACAUAGCCUUAUGAUAUAAGGUCAAACCUGCCCAAUGAUUAUUUUAAUGGCCGCAGUACUCUGACUGUGCUAAGGUAGCAUAAUAAAUUGACUUUUAAUUGGAGCCUAGAAUGAAGGGAUUGAUAAAUUCUGUCUUAUUAAAUUAUUAAAAACUUACUUAAAAGGUGAAAAUACCUUUAUAUUAUAAAAUAGACGAGAAGACCCUAGGAGUUUUAAAUUUUGUUGGGGCAACAGUAUAGCAAUAUCUAUAUAUAUAUAUAUAAAACGAAAUAUAUUAAUUGUAAAUAAACUACCCUAGGGAUAACAGCAUAAUUUAUUAAGA
rnacentral:rRNA from 1 species